rnacentral:rRNA from 1 species
AUACGAAGGGGGCUAGCGUUGCUCGGAAUUACUGGGCGUAAAGGGAGCGUAGGCGGACUGUUUAGUCAGAGGUGAAAACCCAGGGCUCAACCUUGGAAUUGCCUUUGAUACUGGCAGUCUUGAGUACGGAAGAGGUAUGUGGAACUCCGAGUGUAGAGGUGAAAUUCGUAGAUAUUCGGAAGAACACCAGUGGCGAAGGCGACAUACUGGUCCGUUACUGACGCUGAGGCUCGAAAGCGUGGGGAGCAAACAGGAUUAGAAACCCCAGUAGUCC